rnacentral:rRNA from 1 species
UGGGGAAUAUUGCGCAAUGGGGGGAACCCUGACGCAGCGACGCCGCGUGAGUGAAGAAGGCUUUCGGGUCGUAAAGCUCUUAUCUGCGGGAAGAAGAGACGGUACCGCAGGAGAAAGCCCCGGCUAACUACGUGCCAGCAGCCGCGGUAAUACGUAGGGGGCAAGCGUUGUCCGGAGUAACUGGGCGUAAAGGGCGCGUAGGCGGAAUAAUAAGUCAGUUGUGAAAGAUAUGGGCUCAACUCAUAGAACGCAUCUGAAACUGUUAAAUCUGGAGUAUAGGAGAGGGAAACGGAAUUCCUGGUGUAGCGGUGAAAUGCGUAGAGAUCAGGAAGAACAUCAGUGGCGAAGGCGGUUUCCUGGCCUAAAACUGACGCUGAAGCGCGAAAGCAUGGGUAGCGAACAGGAUUAGAUACCCUGGUAGUCCACGCUGUAAACGAUGUCGAUUUUGGAGGUUGUGCCCUUGAGGCGUGGCUUCCGGAGCUAACGCGUUAAAUCGACCGCCUGGGGAGUACGGCCGCAAGGUUAAAACUCAAAUGAAUUGACGGGGUCAUAGCUGUUUCCU